rnacentral:rRNA from 1 species
UACGUAGGCAGCAAGCGUUGUCCGGAAUUAUUGGGCGUAAAGAGCGUGUAGGCGGCCCGACAAGUCCGCUGUGAAAGUCCAGGGCUCAACCCUGGAAUGCCGGUGGAUACUGUCGGGCUAGAGUCCGGAAGGGGCGAGUGGAAUUCCUGGUGUAGCGGUGAAAUGCGCAGAUAUCAGGAGGAACACCAAUGGCGAAGGCAGCUCGCUGGGACGUGACUGACGCUGAGACGCGAAAGCGUGGGGAGCGAACAGG